rnacentral:snRNA from 1 species
AACCACUUCGGUGGUCAUCCGUAAAAAUUGGAACGAUACAGAGAAGAUUAGCAUGGCCCCUGCGCAAGGAUGACACGCAUAAAUCGAGAAGUAUCGCACUUUGUG